rnacentral:rRNA from 1 species
AAUGGUUGACCUCGGAUCAGGU